rnacentral:siRNA from 1 species
GGUAAAGUUUUAGAGCCGAGGUA